rnacentral:lncRNA from 1 species
CUCCAGAGGGUCGGGACCCGUAUGUGGUAGGACCGUGCCAAGUGCCUGGUGAUCUUACAGGCAGCCGGCUGCCUCUUCCCACUCCUGGGUGCCACCCUCCAGCAGGCACAGGUCCUGAGUUCGUGGGGCACAUACUGAUUUUGCAGCAGAGUGAGGAUCUGAAUUCAGGAUAUCUGGACAUGGUUUCUCACCAGGGCACGUCCUUCCCGCCCAGGAGGAAUGGAACCCAGAGCCUCUUGGAAGCACAGUGGUCCCCUAUGUGAGGAGUCCGAGACCAUAGCAAAAGUGCCACCCUGGGGACUUUGCUAGUAAUCGGAUGUUCAGCCUGAUAUGCUGGUGAACUGGGAGUCCAGCCUGAGCUACAAGGAAAGGUGAAGAUGUGCCCGAGGCUAGACCCCUGC